AUUAAACGCUGGCGGCAUGCCUUACGCAUGCAAGUCGAACGGCAGCACGGGGGCAACCCUGGUGGCGAGUGGCGAACGGGUGAGUAAAGCAUCGGAACGUGCCCUGGAGUGGGGGAUAACGUAGCGAAAGUUACGCUAAUACCGCAUAUUCUGUGAGCAGGAAAGCAGGGGAUCGCAAGACCUUGCGCUCUGGGAGCGGCCGAUGUCGGAUUAGCUAGUUGGUGGGGUAAAGGCCUACCAAGGCGACGAUCCGUAGCGGGUCUGAGAGGAUGAUCCGCCACACUGGGACUGAGACACGGCCCAGACUCCUACGGGAGGCAGCAGUGGGGAAUUUUGGACAAUGGGCGAAAGCCUGAUCCAGCCAUGCCGCGUGAGUGAAGAAGGCC
rnacentral:rRNA from 1 species